CCUUAUCAUGAGCGACGGAGGGAUCAGGCCCGACGAUGUCCGGCAACCUGCCAUGGCGGCAAGGUGCCAAAUCCUGCGGUGUAAGCCGGAAGAUGAGG
rnacentral:ncRNA from 1 species